GCGGCGUGCCUAAUACAUGCAAGUCGAACGAGUUCUGAUUAUUGAAAGGUGCUUGCAUCUUGAUUUAAUUUUGAACGAGUGGCGGACGGGUGAGUAACACGUGGGUAACCUGCCCUUAAGUGGGGGAUAACAUUUGGAAACAGAUGCUAAUACCGCAUAAAUCCAAAAACCGCAUGGUUCUUGGCUGAAAGAUGGCGUAAGCUAUCGCUUUUGGAUGGACCCGCGGCGUAUUAGCUAGUUGGUGAGGUAACGGCUCACCAAGGCAAUGAUACGUAGCCGAACUGAGAGGUUGAUCGGCCACAUUGGGACUGAGACACGGCCCAAACUCCUACGGGAGGCAGCAGUAGGGAAUCUUCCACAAUGGACGCAAGUCUGAUGGAGCAACGCCGCGUGAGUGAAGAAGGCUUUCGGGUCGUAAAACUCUGUUGUUGGAGAAGAAUGGUCGGCAGAGUAACUGUUGUCGGCGUGACGGUAUCCAACCAGAAAGCCACGGCUAACUACGUGCCAGCAGCCGCGGUAAUACGUAGGUGGCAAGCGUUAUCCGGAUUUAUUGGGCGUAAAGCGAGCGCAGGCGGUUUUUUAAGUCUGAUGUGAAAGCCCUCGGCUUAACCGAGGAAGUGCAUCGGAAACUGGGAAACUUGAGUGCAGAAGAGGACAGUGGAACUCCAUGUGUAGCGGUGAAAUGCGUAGAUAUAUGGAAGAACACCAGUGGCGAAGGCGGCUGUCUGGUCUGUAACUGACGCUGAGGCUCGAAAGCAUGGGUAGCGAACAGGAUUAGAUACCCUGGUAGUCCAUGCCGUAAACGAUGAAUGCUAGGUGUUGGAGGGUUUCCGCCCUUCAGUGCCGCAGCUAACGCAUUAAGCAUUCCGCCUGGGGAGUACGACCGCAAGGUUGAAACUCAAAGGAAUUGACGGGGGCCCGCACAAGCGGUGGAGCAUGUGGUUUAAUUCGAAGCAACGCGAAGAACCUUACCAGGUCUUGACAUCUUUUGAUCACCUGAGAGAUCAGGUUUCCCCUUCGGGGGCAAAAUGACAGGUGGUGCAUGGUUGUCGUCAGCUCGUGUCGUGAGAUGUUGGGUUAAGUCCCGCAACGAGCGCAACCCUUAUGACUAGUUGCCAGCAUUUAGUUGGGCACUCUAGUAAGACUGCCGGUGACAAACCGGAGGAAGGUGGGGAUGACGUCAAAUCAUCAUGCCCCUUAUGACCUGGGCUACACACGUGCUACAAUGGAUGGUACAACGAGUUGCGAGACCGCGAGGUCGAGCUAAUCUCUUAAAGCCAUUCUCAGUUCGGACUGUAGGCUGCAACUCGCCUACACGAAGUCGGAAUCGCUAGUAAUCGCGGAUCAGCACGCCGCGGUGAAUACGUUCCCGGGCCUUGUACACACCGCCCGUCACACCAUGAGAGUUUGUAACACCCGAAGCCGGUGGCGUAACCCUUUUAGGGAGCGAGCCGUCUAAGGUGGGACAAAUGAUUAGGGUG
rnacentral:rRNA from 1 species